rnacentral:rRNA from 1 species
GGGACGAACGCUGGCGGCGUGCUUAACACAUGCAAGUCGAACGGUAAGGCCCCUUCGGGGGUACACGAGUGGCGAACGGGUGAGUAACACGUGGGUAAUCUGCCCUGCACUUCGGGAUAAGCCUGGGAAACUGGGUCUAAUACCGGAUAUGAACUCCUGCCGCAUGGUGGGGGUUGGAAAGUUUUUCGGUGCAGGAUGAGCCCGCGGCCUAUCAGCUUGUUGGUGGGGUAAUGGCCUACCAAGGCGACGACGGGUAGCCGGCCUGAGAGGGUGAGUCGGACGACACUGGGACUGAGACACGGCCCAGACUCCUACGGGAGCAGCAGUGGGGAAUAUGCACAAUGGGCGAAAGCCUGAUGCAGCGACGCCGCGUGGGGGAUGACGGUCUUCGAUUGUAAACCCUUUCAGUAGGGACAAGGCGCAAGUGACGGUACCUGCAGAAGAAGCACGGCUAACUACGUGCCAGCAAGCCGC